UGGGGAAUAUUGCACAAUGGGCGCAAGCCUGAUGCAGCAACGCCGCGUGCGGGAAGAAGGCCCUAGGGUUGUAAACCGCUUUCAGCAGGGAAGAAACUGACGGUACCUGCAGAAGAAGGUGCGGCCAACUACGUGCCAGCAGCCGCGGUGACACGUAGGCACCAAGCGUUGUCCGGAUUUAUUGGGCGUAAAGAGCUCGUAGGCGGUUCAGUAAGUCGGGUGUGAAAACUCUGGGCUCAACCCAGAGAGGCCACUCGAUACUGCUGUGACUAGAGUGCGGUAGGGGAGCGGGGAAUUCCUGGUGUAGCGGUGAAAUGCGCAGAUAUCAGGAGGAACACCAGUGGCGAAGGCGCCGCUCUGGGCCGUAACUGACGCUGAGGAGCGAAAGCAUGGGUAGCAAACAGGAUUAGAUACCCUGGUAGUCCAUGCCGUAAACGUUGGGCACUAGGUGUGGGUCUCAACCAACGAGAUCCGCGCCGUCGCUAACGCAUUAAGUGCCCCGCCUGGGGAGUACGGUCGCAAGACUAAAACUCAAAGGAAUU
rnacentral:rRNA from 1 species